GACAGAGGGUGCAAACGUUGCUCGGGAAUUAUCUGGGCGUAAAGCGCGUGUAGGCGGGUCGGAAAGUCAGGUGUGAAAUCCCCGGGGCUCCAACGUCGGGAACUGCACUUGGAAACUUCCGAUCUCGAGUACCGGAGGAGGGUAGUGGAAUUCCUGGUGUAGAGGUGAAAUUCGUAGAUAUCAGGAGGAACACCGGUGGCGAAGGCGGCUACCUGGACCGGUAU
rnacentral:rRNA from 1 species